AACGCGAAGAACCUUACCUAGGCUUGACAUGCAGGGAAAUCUGGCAGAGAUGCCAGGUCCUUCGGGGCCUUGCACAGGUGGUGCAUGGCUGUCGUCAGCUCGUGUCGUGAGAUGUUGGGUUAAGUCCCGCAACGAGCGCAACCCUCGUCCUAUGUUGCCAGCACGUAAUGGUGGGGACUCAUAGGAGACUGCCGGGGUCAACUCGGAGGAAGGUGGGGAUGACGUCAAGUCAUCAUGCCCCUUAUGUCUAGGGCUGCACGCAUGCUACAAUGGUCGGUACAAAGGGCUGCAAUACCGUAAGGUGGAGCGAAUCCCAAAAAGCCGGCCUCAGUUCGGAUUGGGGUCUGCAACUCGACCCCAUGAAGUCGGAGUCGCUAGUAAUCGCAGAUCAGCAACGCUGCGGUGAAUACGUUCCCGGGUCUUGUACACACCG
rnacentral:rRNA from 1 species